AGAAGUCAGAAAACAUACCACACGAUCAUGGAAGACAACUUCCAAGGUCUUAUCAUUCUUAUCUCCAGAAUUGUUCUCAUAAAGCCGGACACAACGAACCUUGAUGACAAGAGAUAGGCACUUUAGGUAGAAGAUUAUUAACCAAGGUAUCAUCUUAAACAAUUUCAAGAAGCAUGGAAACCAAAGAACACAUAUUGCAUGGAAAACUGGAAUAAGAGGAACAAAAAGUAUAAAACCUCAACUACAUGAGCCAUUCAAGGUUUCAAGCAUAAAACAAAUGGAAGGAAUGACAAAUUCAAGAAAAUAGAGAGAGAAGAAGAAGAUAACCAGGUGUCUCUCACUUCUGACGACGCAAUCAUCAUCCAAGAGGCAUAAAUGUCAUAGCAGGCGUGGCCUCCCUAAAGCCUACUCUACUGCAUCAGCAACAAAACCACAUAUCUAUAGAAUAAACAUAUCAAGGGACAAAUUGCAAUGGGAAGUAAAUCUUGGAUGACAAAGUAUUAUUUCAUAACUUCAUUAAGGCAAAAAUCUUGGUAACUGGAGGGAAAAAAUUUCUUUUUCACAGGCAAAAAUCUUGGUAACCGGAGG